rnacentral:rRNA from 1 species
CAGCCGCCGCGGGAAUACGUAGGUGGCAAGCGUUGUCCGGAAUUAUUGGGCGUAAAGGGCUCGCAGGCGGUUUCUUAAGUCUGAUGUGAAAGCCCCCGGCUCAACCGGGGAGGGUCAUUGGAAACUGGGAAACUUGAGUGCAGAAGAGGAGAGUGGAAUUCCACGUGUAGCGGUGAAAUGCGUAGAGAUGUGGAGGAACACCAGUGGCGAAGGCGACUCUCUGGUCUGUAACUGACGCUGAGGAGCGAAGGCGUGGGGAGCGAACAGGAUUAGAUACCCGCGUAGUCCCUGUCUCUUAUAC